AGUGUUCUCAAGAUUUGUAGUUGCCCAUAUGUGUAUGGGGCAGCAAGAUGACACAGUGGAUAGAGGCCAGGCCUGGAGUCGGGAAGAUGAGUUUUCCUGAGUUCAAUCUGGCCUCAGACA